rnacentral:rRNA from 1 species
AACGCGAAGAACCUUACCAAGGCUUGACAUCUGGCCGACGCGCCCGUAACGGGGCGCUUCCCUCGGGACGGCCAAGACAGGUGGUGCAUGGUUGUCGUCAGCUCGUGUCGUGAGAUGUUGGGUUAAGUCCCGCAACGAGCGCAACCCCUAUCCCUAGUAGCCAGCAGCGAGAUGGGGACUCUAGGGAGACUGCCGGGGAGAACCCGGAGGAGGGUGGGGACGACGUCAAAUCAUCAUGCCCCUUAUGGCCAGGGCGACACACGUGCUACAAUGGGGCGGACAGAGGGAAGCGAGGUGGCGACACGGAGCGAACCCCAAAAACCGCCCCCCAGUUCGGACUGCAGUCUGCAACCCGACUGCACGAAGCCGGAAUCGCUAGUAAUCGCAGAUCAGAACGCUGCGGUGAAUACGUUCCCGGGUCUUGUACACACCGCCCGU